AGUACCAUCUUCAAAUCCCACCAUUUGACUUUUUGACGCUUUGUUACCACUAUCUUCUAAUCCUGUUGUUUGAUCUUCCAACAUCUCCACCCACAUGCACACAUACACAAAAUUCAGACCUCUUGAAACAUCCUUACUCUCCCUUCUGGAGUAAUGAAUUUACUUUUAUGAUUAGAAACAAGUCAUUUAUGUGAAUUUAUACAUAAAUAUUGCAAUAAACUGCAAGUGAUAAAUAAUAAUUACUUACCACAAACACAUACACUAACCCUUUGUUUGGAUCCUUAA
rnacentral:misc_RNA from 1 species